UUGCUGAGAGGCGAGGGUGCCUUCGGAGCCAGAACACAGGUGCUGCAUGGCUGUCGUCAGCUCGUGUCGUGAGAUGUUGGGUUAAGUCCCGCAACGAGCGCAACCCUUACGGUUAGUUGCCAGCGGGUAUGCCGGGCACUCUAGCUGAACUGCCGUUGACAAAACGGAGGAAGGUGGGGAUGACGUCAAAUCAUCAUGCCCUUUAUGUCCUGGGCUACACACGUGCUACAAUGGCCUGUACAGAGGGAAGCGAAAGGGUGACCUGGAGCGAAUCCCAAAAAGCAGGUCUCAGUUCGGAUUGCAGGCUGCAACCCGCCUGCAUGAGGUCGGAAUCGCUAGUAAUCGCAGGUCAGCAUACUGUGGUGAAUACGUUCCCGGGCCUU
rnacentral:rRNA from 1 species